AGCACAAAGUAAUCAUUGUUGGUCUGGAUAAUGCAGGAAAAACUACAAUUCUUUAUCAAUUUUCUAUGAAUGAAGUGGUGCACACUUCACCUACGAUAGGGAGUAAUGUAGAAGAGCUUGUGGUUAAUAACACACGUUUUCUAAUGUGGGACAUUGGAGGACAAGAAUCGCUUCGAUCUUCAUGGAACACCUACUAUACAAAUACAGAGUUUGUAAUAGUUGUUGUGGACAGCACAGACAGAGAGAGAAUUACUGUAACUAAAGAAGAACUCUAUAAAAUGUUAGCACAUGAGGACUUAAAGAAAGCAGGUUUGCUGAUUUUUGCUAACAAACAAGAUGUGAAAGAGUGCAUGACAGUAGCUGAAAUAUCCCAGUUUCUGAAGCUGACUUCAAUUAAAGAUCACCAGUGGCAUAUCCAGGCCUGCUGCGCUCUAACUGGCGAGGGGUUGUGCCAAGGACUUGAAUGGAUGAUGUCAAGACUUAAAAUCAGAUGAUUUUUAAUGACCUCUUUGCAUGGACAUUGCAUAAAAAAGUGCAGUAACCAGGGUUACAUUGACAGCUGCAAAAUUAAUGGAUAAAAUAUUUAUAAUGAACUGAUUUCACCUUUAUUUCUGCACUCACACACAUUAAGUCUCUCACCUCCCUGCCAUACCCCUUUGCUUUGAAACCAAGAUGAAAAUUUGAAGGCUCUGAUUGGGUCUCCCAUUAGUUUCCUCUGAAGACAGAUAUAAAAGCUGUAAUCAACGCUCUUCUCAAGAUAAAACCACUCAGGACAGUAUAGUGCUGCAUGUGAUUCCUAUUUAGUAGGAGGAGUUUGUGGGGGCUGGGAGAAGCUGUUCUGUUGUUUUGGUUUCGUUUCAAGAGAUGAAGAAACAACCGUCUUGGAUUGGAUUUAUUAAAAAAUGCAUUUGGAUCAAUUGAGAUGAAAAGUUCUGUGUUUUUGGAAUUGUUAAUUCUUGCUGGAGUAACUACCAGAAUAUCUGUUUCAAGGAAAACACAUUCAAUAUUUCUACUUAAUGUACUACACUGCAUGCAGUUUAUGGUGAAACUCCUUGGAGAGAGUUACCUGUGUCUAAACACCAAAGCAAAUUGUAAGACCUCUAUAUCAUUGCCUUUCAUCCAUACUGUUAUGCUCAUAAACGAUUCAACUGUGGUUAAAUAGUUGUUGUACGGCGAUUGUCACACAUUUUUGCUGUCAGCUGUUUCACUCACCCUUUGUUCCUCAAAUUUCAUAUCUAUUUGUCUUUCAUCUUUAAGCUGUAACUGAGAGGUUUGGGGGACCAGGGGGACAUAGAUUGUACAUGGCCUGGAACCAUGGGGUCUUGGCCCUUAGGAACUGUUGCAAUACAAUACAGUAAUGUUUUGGAAAUCCAUGUUUUACAAAAACAUUAGUUAUUGUUCUGAAAUGCUUCAUGUUGGCUACUACAAAUUAUGAUAUGUGAAAUGCACUGUAAUUAACAACCCUCCUCCCUCUAGUGGGAUAAGUUCAGUUGAAGAAUGUAGUUUUUAACUUUUAAAUAAACAACAAAACUAAAGUGUUGAAUGCUUUACUCCCUGAUACUAUAUAGAAUCUUAAGAGUUCUACAUUUAUAAAAUAUGUAUUAGCAGGCUUUGCCUUUGGAAAGCCCAUUUUGUAUAACUUAAUAAAGGAUGAUAAUUGCAAAAUUUAGGCCAGUGUAAAGUAUUUUCAUCAGCAGACUCUGGUAUACUAACAUGAUGGGAAAGAUGGCCAUGUAGGGGACCCUGCGUAUAGGUUGUGUCCUUUUUUUCUUGAAUGCAGUCUUGUUGAUCUUACAGAGCAGAGUAAGCUGACAGGCUUGCAGCGAUUUCUGAUACAGAGCAAGCAGCUGCAUUUUUUAGGGGAAAGAUACAGGGAUAAGAUCAAAUUACAGUCUUCUAUUUGUUUUCCAUAUUUCACACCUGAAUAUACAUGUAUUGUUUUUUAUGAUUUU